CCUUGUAUACAUAUUGUGCAGGCUUAGGGCAGAAGCACAGCCUUUUUCUCAGUGCCUGGGUGGAUAGUUGAAGAGGUAGAAUUGUUCCUGAGAAAGAAUAAUACCCCAACAUUUGUAGCUGACCUCCUAGUCAUCAUAAUUAUACACUGAACCUUAAUUAAUUGGAAGAACAAUGAAGACAUAUGUUCCUACUUUAUUCAUGCUCUCGUGGCUGCAGCUGAAUGGGGUGAGCCAAGGUGAGCAGGUGGAUCAGCGUCCUUCCACCCUGAGAGUCCAGGAGGGAGCCAGAGCUGUCAUUAACUGCACAUAUGAAGACAGCGCCUCGCCCUACUUCCCUUGGUAUAAGCAAGAACCUGGAAAGCAUCCUAAGCUCAUUAUUGACAUUCGAUCAAAUAUGGAAAGAAAGCAGGACCAAAGACUGAUCAUUUCACAUGAUAAGAAAAUCAAACACCUCUCCCUGCACAUCACAGACACCCAGCCUGGAGAUUCUGCCAUGUACUUCUGUGCUGCAAGUGCACACUGCUCCCCAGGCACCUGCAACCUGUCCUAAAACCUGCCACAGGGCUUGGGGCCCCAUCCACAUCCUGUGUCUUGUUUGUGCAGCACUUGCCAGGUGUUAGUUUGCAAAUGACAGCUAUAGUACAGACAUUGAAAACACAAAAUAAGUAAUUAGCUUCAAGUCGCUCAAAACAAUUUAGAAUGGUUUUCUCCUUUUCAAAAAAUUUAUUUAAAAAUUAAAAUACAAUUUUAUUAUUUUCCUUUCUUCCCUCCAGCCCCUUCUAAAUCCCUUUUCUUAUUCCCUCUCAAAUUCAGUCCUUUGCUAAGAUAUUACUAACUUUUAUUAUUUAGUUAUUAUUUUUAAAUUAACUAAUUUUUAAACUAUUAUUACAUAUGUGGAUAAUGUAAUUGACUAUGUCUGAUUACUGUUGUUUGUGUGUAUAUAAUUUUAGGGCUGAUCACUUGGUAUUGGAUAUCCAAUAUUAUCCUCAGGGAUAAAUACUUCUUCCUCUA